GAUCUCAAUCCACUAGUUAAGGACAGUACUCUGCCAUGUCCUAAAGUGAGACCAAUGAACUUUACCCAUUAUCCCAUCAAUAGCGAUGGACGCCCAUGUUCAAGACCUCCAAUCACCAAUGGAUCAUUUGUAAACAGCACAACUGAAUUUCCCUCAACUUCACAAACUCGUCUCGAUGAAGAUGUUGACAGCAUCUUUUGCCACUCUCCUGCCACGAUGCCCUCUGUCACCCUCAUCUUCCUACCAGUGCUGAUGAUUCUGUUACCUUAGUGUGGAUGUUUUCAUUUUUUCAUGUGAUUUUUAAAUAAGGUGAUUCAAUUAAUUAAAUCUGGAAUUUUUGGGUUUAUGGUAUAAUUGUAACGUUAAAACAUUAUUCUGGCAGGAAAAACAAAAAUGGAUAUAUAAAAGAAAAAUAAUACUCAUCUUAA